AUUGAAGUAGUUUAUUAAAAAUGCCGAUUUGUGGUGUCGGAGAAGUAGUGGUUCUACCUUUGAUA
rnacentral:tRNA from 1 species